rnacentral:rRNA from 1 species
UACAGAGGUCUCAAGCGUUGUUCGGAUUCAUUGGGCGUAAAGGGCGCGUAGGCGGCGAGGUAAGUCUGGUGUGAAAUCUAGGAGCUUAACUCCUAAACUGCACUGGAUACUGCUUUGCUUGAGGACUGGAGAGGAGAUUGGAAUUCACGGUGUAGCAGUGAAAUGCGUAGAUAUCGUGAGGAAGACCAGUGGCGAAGGCGGAUCUCUGGACAGUUCCUGACGCUGAGGCGCGAAGGCCAGGGGAGCAAACGG